AACCCCAAGAUAUUCUCAGAAGAGAAAAACAAAUUUUAAAUAUAAAAUGUCUAACUUUACUUAAAAAUGAAAAAAAUAUAUGCUAUAUACACUUAUUCUAGAAAAUGUAGACAUGACAGAGAAGUAAAAAAGGAAUAGCCGUUCCUGAUCCUUUUCAAAGCAGUCCCACGUUAUGAUAAGCAUCCUUUGGUCACCUGCCUGUUGCCCACUGAGAGGUGCCCCUGGUCGGAUUCCAUCACAUGCCCGUCGCCGGAGGACCUGGGCCCAUCCAGUACCUGUCAGGGCAGAGGUCCUUGGGCAAGCCCAGGUGCCCAUUUUGGUCAAACGACCCAGGUUGCUGUGUCAACAGUAAACUAAACACACACACAUGAGGUUUGCUGAGUGCCAGAGGGGGUGAGGUCUGGAAAAAUGAGCAGCUGUCUCCCUCUGGAGUCACACUGGCAAAGGGAUCGAACCGGGACCUUGCGCUUUCGAGCUUUGCUAUGCUGUGAACAAAUAUUUCUUCCUGAGUCCAGAAGAACCCUGAGCAAUGGUUUUUUGGACCAACUACAAAACUAUACUUUAAAUCACAUCCCCUAGGGGUACGAUGACUGCAUCAUCACAUUGUCUGCAUUCCCCAGGCUCUCAGCAGACCUCUGUGUACAUCUCUCAGAUGUUUGUGUCACGCUCAAAUGUCACUCCGAAGCCCAGGGGCGAGUCUGAGGGCCUCGCUGCUCCCUAGGCGGAACAUGAGUGCAUACUGUACUCAUGUCUGCACACAUGAAGGGGUGAGAUUAAAAUAUUUCACAAAACUGGAUACAUGCAGAUGUGCAGAAGAUUCGAGCUGAAACCCUUCCUUGAGGGAGGUGCUGGAACCCUUCCCUGAGUUUUGAUUAGUAAACAAAUUCGGAAAAAGGUAAUUUGUGGAAAGAGUUUUCCACACGCAUGUACAUGAGUGUGUGAGAGUGCUAGGGAUGGAAUACAGAGCCCCCCACAUGCUAGGCAAGUGCACUACCACUGAGUUACAACCCCAGCUGGAGGAAAGCCCUUAAAAACCAUUAAUUUUUCAGUCAAUGAUAAGUUGUUGGGGCCAUACACUGGGAUUUGGGAACAGAAAGGGAAAUAACAUUUAUUAAGCACUUGUACUGUGCAAAACAUAGGCACUGAUUCAAAAACAAUGAAUAACAAGAAUUGAGUCUACUUUCUAUAGCCAAACCACAAAGACAGCUAUAAUAUUAAAGGAGGUCAUGUUUUCAGUGCUCCUAAAACAUAUUGCUAUCUAAGUAACUAAUACUUUAUACUUUUUCUUUGUGUCAGUGUCUGCUAGAUAAAUGGAGACUCUUUUUUUUUUUCCAGUACCAGGGAUGGAACUCAGGACCUUGCACUUGCCAGGCAGGUGUGGUGCCACUGAGCUACGUCCCCUGCCCUUGGAGAGACUCUAAAGUCUGUAGACAAUUGUUUGUCUGUCUGUACUCAAGGCACAGGCUGGUGACAGAUACAUAAUACACAAUAAAUAAUGCAA